UGGGCAACCUGCCCCUCUCUCUGGGAUAACCCCGGGAAACCGGAGCUAAUACCGGAUACUCCGGCUGGAUCGCAUGGUCCGGCCGGGAAAGGUCCGCCGGAGAGGGAUGGGCCCGAGGCCUAUCAGCUUGUUGGUGGGGUCAUGGCUCACCAAGGCGACGACGGGUAGCUGGUCUGAGAGGACGACCAGCCACACUGGAACUGAGAUACGGUCCAGACUCCUACGGGAGCA
rnacentral:rRNA from 1 species